UAAUACGUAGGGUGCGAGCGUUAAUCGGAAUUACUGGGCGUAAAGCGUGCGCAGGCGGUUCUCCAAGUCCGUUGUGAAAGCCCCGGGCUCAACCUGGGAAUGGCAGUGGAAACUAGGGGACUGGAAUCUGGCAGAGGGGGGUGGAAUGCCGCGUGUAGCAGUGAAAUGCGUAGAGAUGCGGCGGAACACCGAUGGCGAAGGCAGCCCCCUGGGCUGAGAUUGACGCUCAGGCACGAAAGCGUGGGGAGCAAACAGGAUUAGAUACCCUGGUAGUCCACGCCAUAAACGAUGAGAACUAGACGUUGAAGGGGUAAGCCCUCCAGUGUCGUAGCUAACGCGCUAAGUUCUCCGCCUGGGGAGUACGGCCGCAAGGUUG
rnacentral:rRNA from 1 species